GCGUUUAUAGCUCAAAGGAUAGAGCAGUGACCUUCUAAGUCAAGGGUUGUAAGUUCAAUUCUUACUAAACGUA
rfam:Asian citrus Psyllid, Diaphorina citri - Florida Strain, whole genome shotgun sequence.